AUUGAACGCUGGCGGUAGGCCUAACACAUGCAAGUCGAACGGCUGCACAGUAAUAGCUUGCUCUUUCGGGUGCCGACUGGCGGGCGGUUGAUGGGUACAUCGCUAUCUGCUGUGUAUUGGGUGAGGAUGUAGGGGAACUUACGCUAUUACCGCAUACGACCUACGGGUGAAAGCAUCGGACCUUCGGAUCUCGCGUGAUUCUAUGACCCGAUGUCGGAUUAGCUAGUUGGCGGGGUAAAGGCCCACCAAGGCGACGAUCCGUAGCUGGUCUGAGAGGAUGAUCAGCCACACUGGAACUGAGACACGGUCCAGACUCCUACGGGAGGCAGCAGUGGGGAAUAUUGGACAAUGGGCGAAAGCCUGAUCCAGCCAUACCGCGUGUGUGAAGAAGGUCUUCGGAUUGUAAAGCACUUUUAUUGGGAAAGAAGAGCAGCAAGUUAAUACCCUGCUGUUCUGACGGUACCAACAGAAUAAGCACCGGCUAACUUCGUG
rnacentral:rRNA from 1 species